CUGGGAAAGCUACCAGCUAUAAUGCAGUCGAGCGGACAGAUGGGAGCUUGCUCCCUGAUGUUAGCGGCGGACGGGUGAGUAACACGUGGGUAACCUGCCUGUAAGACUGGGAUAACUCCGGGAAAACGGGGCUAAUACCGGAUGGUUGUUUGAACCGCAUGGUUCAAACAUAAAAGGUGGCUUCGGCUACCACUUACAGAUGGACCCGCGGCGCAUUAGCUAGUUGGUGAGGUAACGGCUCACCAAGGCAACGAUGCGUAGCCGACCUGAGAGGGUGAUCGGCCACACUGGGACUGAGACACGGCCCAGACUCCUACGGGAGGCAGCAGUAGGGAAUCUUCCGCAAUGGACGAAAGUCUGACGGAGCAACGCCGCGUGAGUGAUGAAGGUUUUCGGAUCGUAAAGCUCUGUUGUUAGGGAAGAACAAGUACCGUUCGAAUAGGGCGGUACCUUGACGGUACCUAACCAGAAAGCCACGGCUAACUACGUGCCAGCAGCCGCGGUAAUACGUAGGUGGCAAGCGUUGUCCGGAAUUAUUGGGCGUAAAGGGCUCGCAGGCGGUUUCUUAAGUCUGAUGUGAAAGCCCCCGGCUCAACCGGGGAGGGUCAUUGGAAACUGGGGAACUUGAGUGCAGAAGAGGAGAGUGGAAUUCCACGUGUAGCGGUGAAAUGCGUAGAGAUGUGGAGGAACACCAGUGGCGAAGGCGACUCUCUGGUCUGUAACUGACGCUGAGGAGCGAAAGCGUGGGGAGCGAACAGGAUUAGAUACCCUGGUAGUCCACGCCGUAAACGAUGAGUGCUAAGUGUUAGGAGGUUUCCGCCCCUUAGUGCUGCAGCUAACGCAUUAAGCACUCCGCCUGGGGAGUACGGUCGCAAGACUGAAACUCAAAGGAAUUGACGGGGGCCCGCACAAGCGGUGGAGCAUGUGGUUUAAUUCGAAGCAACGCGAGAACCUUACCGGGUCUUGACAUCCUCUGACAUCCUAGAGAUAGGACGUCCCCUUCCGGGGGCAGAGUGACAGGUGGGUGCAUGGUUGUCGUC
rnacentral:rRNA from 1 species